GACGGUGGUAUUGACUGUUCCCCAGAGGACAAGGAGUGUGUUCUUAUAAUGGACAUCAUGAUUGGGAUUGUCUUUAUUAAACUUUGUCAGGAGAGUAAAGAUCAAUGUGGCCACAUGUUGUGGCUCAUGCCUGUAAUCCCAACACUGUAAUCCCAGCACUGUAAUCCCAGCCUGUAAUCCCAGGCUGAGGUGGGCGGAUCACCUGAGGUUGGGAGUUCGAGACCAGCCUGACCAACAUGGAGAAACCCCGUCUCUACUAAAAAUACAAAAUUAGCCGGGCAUGGUGGCGCAUGUCUUUAAUUCCAGCUACUCAGGAGGCUGAGGCAGGAGAAACGCUUGAACCCGAGAGGCGGAGGUUGCAGUGAGCUGAGAUUGCGCCAUUGCACUCCAGCCUGGGCAACAAGAGUGAAACUCCAUCUCAAAAGAAAAAAAAAAGAAAACAAAACAAAAAAAGAAAAAACCAAUGUUCCAAUAGUUUCCCAAAUCAUGCUGAUGCUGCCUCCUGAGAAAUAUUUUCAGAAUCACUGAGAAAAAUGUAUGAAAUAGUUAAUGUCCUUGCUCUGUGUCAGUGGUGGAGGCUGUCUGCAGUAGGAGCAUGGAGACCAACAAUGGAUGCUCUUAAACUGAUUUAAGCACGCUUCCAUGGUCAGAAGCCUUAUGGUUGCCACAGGGUAUUAGGAGCAUGGAGACCAAUAAUGGAUGUCCUUGUUCUGAUUUGAGGAUGCCUCCAAGGUCACAUACUCUGUUUGCACCACGCUUAGGAAGGAGCGUGAAGACCAAGGGGAGGAAGAUGAUAAACACAGAUCAUGGAGGACUGUUUUAUCUGUUUGUGAUCUGCCGUCCUCUGUGAGCCUCAGGAUGGAUGUUUGCCAGCCGAUUCCAUGGUUACAAGCUCUAUAGCUGCAUCUAUGUGUUAGGAGCAUGAAGACCAAUAAUGGAUGCACUGAGCUGAUUAUGAAUUUAGCCCUGAUGAAGACUUGUGUUGCUGUCAUGAUAUGAAAGAUUCCAGUAAUGAACGCACUUGAGUUGAUUCAAGCACGCUUCCAUGGUCAUGAGCUCUGUGGUUGCAUCUGUGUGUUAGGAGCAUGCAGACCAAUAGUGAUAAUCUCGAGGUGAUUUAUGCAUUCUUCCAUGGCCACCAGCCUUAUGAUUGCAUCUGUGCGUCACAGCUUAGAGAUCAAUAAUGGAUGCAACAAGCUCUUUGAAUCAUUCUGUUGGGAUCAAGAUUGUUGUGUUCCCUCUGUUUGGAAAGAGACCAAGAAUGGAUACGCUCAGGUGAUUUAAGCAGUCUUCCAUGGCCACGAGCUCUGUGGUUGCCUCUGUAUAUUAAGAGCACAGAGAUUAAAAAUGGCCCCAUUCCAGCUGAUAUAAGCACUCUUCCAUGGCAUGUGCACUAUGGUUGGUUCUCUGUGUUAGGAGCACACAAACCAUUGCGAGUAUGCAUUCAUUUCCUCUCUUUACAAGAAUGGGUGCACUUGAGCCGAUUGAAACAUUCCUCCUUGCAUCUUUCUUCUGUGAUUGCAUCUAUUUGUUAGUAGCAUAGAGACCAAUAAUAGAUGGCUUGUGCUGAUGGAAGGAUUCCUCCCUGGUGACAUGCUGUGUCUGCCUCUUGAUUGGGAGCACGCAGACCUACAAUGAUGCACUUUUUAUGAUUUGAGAAUUCCUUCAUGGUCACGUGCUCUGUUUUUAUCAUGGUUGGGAGCCUGCAGAGCAAUAAGGGACAUGCCUUUGCUGAUUUGAGGAUUCCUCUGAGGUUGGGAGCUAAGUUUGCAUCAUGCUUAGAAAGGAGUGUGCAGACCUGUAAUGAUUGCACUUUGCUGAUUGAAGGAUUCCUUCAAGUCCAUGUGCUCCACUUGCACCAUUUUUAGGAUGGAGCCUGGAGACCUAUAAUGAACAACUUGUGCUGUGUUAAGGAUUCCUCCAUGAUCACGCGCCCCAUUUGUACACCAUGCUUGGGAAGGUGCAUGCAGACCAAUAAUGGACGUACUUGUGAUGAUUUAAAGAUGCCUCCAAGGUCACGUGCUCUGUUUGCACCAUGCUUAGGAAGGAGCGUACAGACCAAAAAUGGAUGAAUUGUGCACCUUGAAAAGUUCUUCCAUGGUCACCUGAGGCAUCUGCGUCAUGAUUAGGCUCCGGAUGACUAAUGUGAGUAAUAGUUAACAUUUUUUACUUCCUUCUGGUGCCAUUUUAAGAGGACUCAUUGUAUUAUAAAAAGUGUGUGACAUUAUCAAAGAUGUCCGCCUGCAUCCCAGUGAAAGAUAUGGAAACGAUACGAAGCGUUGUAUUGAUAAUGCAUAUAUAAAAACCUGAAGAUAGUUAAUUAAGAGGUGUAUCAAUGUUGGAAUAAUUCAGUAUACAAAUUAGGAAUAUUAAAGUUAUUCUCAGGAUUUUUUUGAACUAUAAAGUCUUAAAAUUGCUAUUAGUGAAUUAACAAAUCAAUCCAUAGACAGGGUAGAAAUGAAUAGAGAAAGAGAUGAACAAUCCUGGAUCGAUGAUGACUGCUGGUGGCGUAUGAGUCAUAUGCGAUGAAUACGUGUCUAGAACUCUGAGGUCCAUCACAGAAGAAAUCUAGCUCAUUUUCUGUGUUUGAUAUAAUCCUUUAGACAGGCAUCAGGAAUAUUAGAUGAGUUUGGUUUUAGUCUUUGUAUUUACAUGUUUUAAUUCUAUUUUUGUAAUUGGCCAAUAUAAAAACCAAUAAACAAAUGUAUAAAUAAAGAUGAGUAAGGUUAAUCAUUGUCCAGUUGUAAAAAAUAUUUGGUGAGGUAAGAAACACUAUUAAUAUGUAUUGAAAAUAGUGAAGUCUGAAGAGAAGUACAUGUACAUGUCUGUCACCUCUUUGGCUAUGGUGAUAUAGACAGGAUAAUUAUAGACAAUGUUCAAAUUCUUGGUUAAUUGUAAGCUUGAAAUUGUUCAUUUUUUAAAGAGGAAAUGAAAUAAGUUUACUCCAAAUAAUGAUAGCUUAGAUGACUAACUAAUGAUAGGUGAAAAGCAAGGAUUGAUAGUUAAAAUGCCUCUCUUUUGUUAUUAUCUUCUUUGCUCUGUACUUAGAAUGGACGUACUUGUUCUGAUUUGAGGACUUCUUCAUGGUCACAUGUUCUGUUUGCACCAUGCUUAGGAAGGAGCAUGUGUACCAAUGUGAGUGACAGUCAGAUUUCUUGCAUUUCUUUGGGUGGUUUAUUUAAGAGGACUCAAUGUACUGUGAAUAAACAUGUAAUAUAAUCAAAGAUGGUGAAUUUUAUCUAGUGAGGGAUAUUGGAGUCAAAAGAAGUAUUAUAUUGAUAAUUCACAUAUGAAAAACAGGAUAACUCAUGAAACAUUAAUAUAGGAAUUAUUUGGGAUAUCUUUUUGGGUUUUGUGAGUCAUAAGGUUUAAAGUUAUUAUUAGUAAAUUAAUGAAUUAAUCAACAGACAAUGUAGAAAAUAACAGAGAAAAGAAGGGCCAAUCCUGGAUCGAUGAUGACUACUGGUAGCAUGAGUCAUAUACAGUGAAUACAUGUCUGGAACUCUGAGGUCUGUCUCAAAAGAUAUCUAGUCUAUUUCCUGUUUCAAAUGAUCCUACAGACAGAUGGCAAAAAAUAGAAUGUAUAUGUGUUUGGUUUUCAUGUUUAUGAAUUUUUAUUUUACAUUUAUGAUUGGCUCAAUCAGAGAAUCAGUUAAUAAAUAUACAAAUAAAGAUGAAUAAGGGCCGGGCAUGGUGGCUCACACCUGUAAUCUCAGCACUUUGGGAGGCCAACACGGGUAGAUCACUUGAUGACAGGAGAUCGAGACCUACCUGGCCAACGUGGCGAAACCCUAUCUCUACUAAAAAUACAAAAAUUAGCCAGGCAUGGCGGCAUGUGCCUCUAAUCCGAGGACUUGGGUGGCUGAGGCACAUGGAUUGCUUGAACCCGGGUUUCAAAAAUUGCUUGAACCUGGGAGGCUGCAGUGAUCCGAGAUCACGUCACUGCAGCUUGGCAACAGAGCAAGAUUCUGUGUCAAAAAGAAAAAAAUAAAAAGGAUAAGAUUAAGGAUUGUCCAACUAUAAAAAUAUGUGGAAAGACAAAAAACACUAUUAAUACAUACUGAAAUUGGUAACAACUAAAGAGAAAUCUUGCAUACCUGUUACCUCUUUGAAUGAGAUAGACAGUAUAAAUUUUGACCGUAUUCAAGUUCUGGGUCAGGGACAAUUCCAAAGUUCUUUAUUUUCCCUUCCUUUCUUCCUUCCUUUCUUUCUUUCCUUUCUUCCUUCCUUUCUUCCUUCCUUUCUUUCUUUUCUUUCUUUCUUUCUUUCUUUCUUUCUUUCUUUCUUUCUUUCUUUCUUUCUCUCUCUUUCUCUCUCUCUCUUUUCCUUCCUUCCUUCCUUCCUUCCUUCCUUCCUUCCUUCCUUCCUUCCUUCCUUCCUUCCUUCCUUCCUUCCUUCUUUCUUUUUGAGAUGGAGUCUUGCUCUAUCACUUAGGGUGGAGUACAAUGCCACGAUCUCAGCUCACCGCAACCUCUGCCUCAUGGGUUCAAGCAGUUCUUGUGCCUCAGCCUCCCUAAUAGCUGGGAUUGCAGACGCGUGCCAUCAUGCCUGGCUAGUUUUUGUAUUUUCAGUAGAGAUGGGGUUUCUCCAUGUUUCCCAGACUGGUCUUGAACUCUUGACCUCAAGUGAUCCACCUGCCUCUGCCUCCCAACAUGCUGGGAUUACAGGCAUGAGCCACCACAUCUGGCCAGUUAUUCAUAAAAAAAUGAAAUAUACCUCAAAUUAAUGAACAUAUAAAUGAGUAUAAAUGUUUAUACAUUUAUUAAUUUGAGGUAUAUUUGAAAAGCAAGGAUCAAUGGAGAGAAGGUCUCAUUUUUGUUGUCAUCUCUUCUGCUCUGUACUCAGAAUGGAAGCACAGAAGCUGGUUUUAAUAGUUAAGAGCUGUAUGGUCCAUCUCUGUGCUAGAAGCUGGAGACCAAUGUGAGUAAUAGUCAAAGUUCUUGUCUCAUCUUGGGUGUUUUGUUUAAAGGUUUAUAGUGCAUUAACAAAAAAUAUGAAAUAUAAUCCAAUAAGGCCAUGAGUAGCCCAGGGAUAAAUAUGGAAUGGAUGUGGAAUGUUACACUGAGGGAUGCUUAUAUGAAAAGCAUGUCCUGUAUUAUUAAGAAAGGUAAUAAUGAGGGGAUAUGGUAUUGUGAGGAUGAGUGUAUAUACAAAUUAGAGAUAUCAAGGCUCCUCUUGGGGUUUUGUGAGUGAUAGUGUUUAAAAGUUAUUAAUGGUGAAUUAAUGAAGUAAUAAAUAAUGUAACAAUGAAUGAAGAGCACCAGAGCUAAUCCUGGAUCAAUCAUGACUACUGGUAUUGGAUGGGUCUUCGUCAGUGAAUGCCUAUCUGGAACUCUGAGGUCCAUCAGAAAAGAAAUAUAGUGUUUUCCCUCUUUUGGAAGUGAUCCUAUAGACAGACGUCAGGAAUAUGCAAGGGUCUUGUUUUUGCUCUUUGUGAGCACGAGUUUUCAAUCUAUUAUUAUAAUUCAAUCAAUGAAGGAACCACUAAACAAAUAUACAAAUAAAGUAUGUUGGAUGCGACUAAGCGUUCUCUAACUGUAAAAAUAAUUUGUGAGGCAAAAAAA
rnacentral:lncRNA from 1 species